rnacentral:rRNA from 1 species
GAUGAACGCUGGCGGCGUGCCUAAUACAUGCAAGUCGAGCGAACAGACGAGGAGCUUGCUCCUCUGACGUUAGCGGCGGACGGGUGAGUAACACGUGGAUAACCUACCUAUAAGACUGGGAUAACUUCGGGAAACCGGAGCUAAUACCGGAUAAUAUAUUGAACCGCAUGGUUCAAUAGUGAAAGACGGUUUUGCUGUCACUUAUAGAUGGAUCCGCGCCGCAUUAGCUAGUUGGUAAGGUAACGGCUUACCAAGGCGACGAUGCGUAGCCGACCUGAGAGGGUGGUCGGCCACACUGGAACUGAGACACGGUCCAGACUCCUACGGGAGGCAGCAGUAGGGAAUCUUCCGCAAUGGGCGAAAGCCUGACGGAGCAACGCCGCGUGAGUGAUGAAGGUCUUCGGAUCGUAAAACUCUGUUAUUAGGGAAGAACAAAUGUGUAAGUAACUAUGCACGUCUUGACGGUACCUAAUCAGAAAGCCACGGCUAACUCCGUG